rnacentral:snoRNA from 1 species
GUCCUGUUUUUCCAAACAGUACGGUUUGGUAAAAGGGCAGAUAUAAACGCUGUGAUGAUUUGCGUGGGAUCUGCAUUUAUAUAGUGGAUCCCAUAGCCCGGCCACAGUAACAUGC